CUGAUUCUAGUGUGAAAAGUCAGGGAGCAGGACUGAUUCUAGUGUUAAAAGGCAGGUCUGAUUCUAGUGUUAAAAGUCAGGGAGCAGGUCUGAUUCUAGUGUGAAAAGUCAGGGAGCAGGACUGAUUCUAGUGUUAAAAGUCAGGGAGCAGGAUUGAUUCUAGUGUUAAAAGUCAGGGAGCAGGUCUGAUUCUAGUGUUAAAAGUCAGGGAGCAGGACUGAUUCUAGUGUUAAAAGUCAGAGAGCAGGUCUGAUUCUAGUGUUAAAAGUCAAGGAGCAGGUCUGAUUCUAGUGUUAAAAGGCAAAUCCUGCACUUUUCAACCUCAUAUUCAUCCUCUCCAGCACCAAAACAGUAUAUAUAUUUCUGAAAACAGCACCUUUCACAUUUCUAUGAUCUGUAGUUUAAAAAAAUG
rnacentral:lncRNA from 1 species